rnacentral:lncRNA from 1 species
UUAAUUAAAUAUUAAUCUUAUAGUCAUGUGAUUUCAACUACUUGAAAAAUUUUUUUGUGUUUUACAUAGGUGUUAAUUUAGUUGUUGAAUUAUCAUGAGCUGUGAUUCAGUAUUCCUUACAGCAAGAUGACUUUCCUGUUUUGUCUCUCUUCCACAAAAGUGUUUACACAAUGAGAUCAAACAGCCUGGGUGGCAGGAACAGGGGAUAAGUAUGGACCCAGAAGCUCUCCUUCACCAAGACUUAUUUGUCUACACUCACUGAAGAAUACACAACCUACCCAGAGAAGAGACUAAUAUUGAGGCCUUCAUAUCACACCAGAGAAGAAUUUCCACAGCAAGUAUUAGUGAAGAGAAUGAAGGUGGAGGGCCACAUAUCCAAUCUCGGGUAACUCACUAACAGCCCAAUUGGUUAAACAUCAUUGACAUUGGACUUAAUAAAAAGAAAACAGGGAUCUGCAUUUAAAUUCAGGAAUGAACACAUAAAGAGGGAGACACCAACACCAACUUUUUCUGUGAGAAAAGACCGUGUGAGGACACAAGGAAUAGGUGGCAAUCUGCAAGCUAAGGAGAGAGGUCACAGGAAAAACCAACCUUGUCAGCACCUUGAUAGAAGAUUUCUAGCCUCCAUAAAGGUGUUAUUCUCGGAAACUGUUGCCUAAUCUGAGGUCACGAAGAUAUACUCCUACGUUUUGCUAUAAGAGUUCAACAUUUUUACUACUUACAUUUAAGCCUGUCAUUCAUUUUUAAUUAAUUUAUGUACCUGGUGUUCUCAUUCUUUUAUAUGUAGAUAGCCAGUGGUCUCAGCCCCAUUAGUUAAAAAGGCUAUUCUUUCCUCAUUGAAUUAACUUGGCACUGUUGUUGAAAAUCAAUUUAGUGUUAAAUGUAAG